rnacentral:rRNA from 1 species
UACGAAGGGGGCUAGCGUUGUUCGGAAUUAUUGGGCGUAAAGCGUGCGCAGGCGGUCUUCCAAGUCAGUGGUGAAAGCCCGGAGCUCAACUCCGGAAUUGCCAUUGAAACUGUGAGGCUUGAGGACGAGAGAGGUGAGUGGAAUUCCCAGUGUAGAGGUGAAAUUCGUAGAUAUUGGGAAGAACACCGGUGGCGAAGGCGGCUCACUGGCUCGUUUCUGACGCUCAGGCACGACAGCGUGGGGAUCAAACAGG